rnacentral:rRNA from 1 species
CCCUUAGAUGCUCUGGGCCGCACGCGCGCUACACUGGUCGAUGCAACGAGUUUCUUUCCUUGGCCGACAGGCCUGGGCAAUCUUUGAACAUCGAUCGUGAUCGGGAUAGAUUCUUGUAAUUUUUGAUCUUAAACGAGGAAUUCCUAGUAAACGCAAGUCAUCAGCUUGCAUUGAUUACGUCCCUGCCCUUUGUACACACCGCCCGUCACACCUACCGAUUGAAUGGUCCGGUGAAAUCUCCGGACUGGCGUGAGUCGGAGCAAUCUGACAAACACCGGAAAGUUGAUUAAACCUUACCAUUUAGAGGAAGGUGAAGUCGUAACA